GGGCAGAGCUCGAGGAGAUGAGCUUCGUGGUGGAGCGUUAUUCUAACGGAGUGUUCUUCAAGGGUCCGAAUCGCGGCAAAAAAACCCAAAAAAACAAGACGAGGGAGCACUAAGAAGCCGAGGGAGACCAUGGCAGAGCUCCCAGCCCUCCCCCGUCCCGCAGCGUGGCGGCUCUGACGCGUGUGGGCGGAGAGAGGAGUGCCGGCGCUUGAGUAGCGCCUAGGGGCUGCCUUGGUCUCGCACGCCUGUGAGCUGCUGCGAAAAGGAACGCGGCGACACAAACAGAAAGCGCGGAUGUCCGUGCAGUGGUUCCGGUCGUGCCUGAGCCUGUCGCUGCUCCAGGAGGGCAGCAGGGAUAGCACCUGUGCGCGCUCUGAGCAGGAGUCAUCAGUGAUUUCUGACAGCCUGCAAAAGUCAGGCCGAGAGGAUGGCUGUGGGGACUGGCAGAGUAAGGCAGCGAGCCGGGAGAAAGCGGAAGAGAGAACACCCUUCAGACCUGGGUUUCGAUUCCCAGAAGGAUCUUCAAUUUCUAUGGUAAUUCUUGCAACGUUCUGUGCCGUUGACAGUAGCGGAAGCAGGUCUUCGUUUCUCAUGUCAAUGCCAGUUUCACCUAGCAUGGCUCCUCUGGAAUAAAAAGAAAGGGGUCUUAGAAAUGAGUCCCAGUGUCAAGUCUCUUCAGAGACUCUUUGACUCAGACUGAAGAGACAGUCUGAGUCAAAGAAAUUCCUCAACAGAAAUCCCAGCAGAGGGCUGCCCACAGCUCACUGUGCUCUGGGAUGCUCUCCUUGUAAGCGCUUCCCUGCACGGAGCAGCCAUCUAGCAAAGACUAGCGGAGAAGCAACUCACGCUUGUCUCUUCAUCAGCAGCUGUUUUGCCAGGUAACCCAAAGCAGCCAGAAUGACCAGAGAGAACACUGUGCUUGAGGUGUGGCCUCAAAAGACACUGCUUACUUGUGCAAAAGACACUGCUUUUGGUAGUACCCUUUAAACCAGUGUCUAAUACCCAGCGUAUUGGGGAAGCACAAAUUGCUCCCAGAUCUAAUAGAGAUGAGGCUAAAUAACCACUGGUUGACAUAAUUAGAGUAGGCCAUAAAUCAUCUUCCAAGGCUGGACUAAACUAUGCCUUCUGGUGACAUUAGCAAACUGUCACCAAGGGCAUUCUAAUGACCACCUGCACUACAGAUAGGAUGUGAUGCUAGAAUGACAACUCUCCCUAGACCUUGAUGAGUGAGCAGAGACAGCGUCUGCAACUUAGGAAUUCUGGUAUCAUCUGGAUCUGGGAUCUAUUUUAACCAGUUUCUUCAGAUGCAGCAACAAAAAAAGCCAUUGAUAAAUCAUAUUAUGUAGGUGGCUGACAUGCAUCAGUAAAUCUUGGGGAAAAAAACAGUUGAAAAUUGUGAAAAAAUGACUCUGUGACUUGUUGCGUAUUGUUUCAACUUUGAUCUUCUGAAGCCUUGAUGAAAAAAAAAACACCACGUCUUGCUAGUAGUAGGUUUUAGUAGGCAAGAAUUGCUGUAAUUCCCUGUUUGCUAAGACAGAAAAACAAGUUUCUUCAAUUUUACCAUGAACUUCUAUCCCCUUUAGUUUUAGGAGGUUUCCAUGAAGCAAGUAUUCUGUAACGAGGGGGUUCUCUUUACCACGUAGAAACAGCAUCCCUGCUGCUACGGAAAGAAUGACUGGGAGCAAAGAGAGGGGUUCUUUGGUGGGUUUUUUGUUUGUUUGUUGGUUGGUUGGUUUGUUUUCAUUUUACUUCUACAAGUUCUGAAGUAUUACAAGAACAGUCUAUCUUGUCAGUGUUGUCCUAUACCACUGUUACUGUUCUUUUAGAUAUUUUAUUAACGGCCGUUUCACAUUGUACUGGUUUUGGCACAAAUUUCAUGCCUUCGAGAAAGCAAAAUACCGUUACAGUAGUGUUUCUUCUGUGUAUCUGAUGAUUCUUUUUAAUUCUAAACUCUUUUCUUUCUGCGUCGCGAUAAUCACCCAAGUACAGGAAAUAUUUAGCUUGAAAGGUCACAACAGGAGGAUCAGAGAGAUGACCGGAGGGCUGGAGCACCUCCACUACGAGGACAGGCUGGGAGGGCUGGGGCUCUUUGGCCUGGAGAAGGCCCUGGGGCGACCUUAGAGCAGCCUUCAGUAGGUCCCUGAAGGGGACCUACAGGAAAGCUGGGGAGGGACUUUUUAUCAGGGCACGUAGCAACAGGAUGAGGGGAAAUGGUUUUAAACUGGAAGAGGGUGGAUUUAGACUAGAGGUUAGGAAGAAAUGCUUUCCUGUGAGGGGAGUGAGGCACUGGAACAGGUUGCCCAGCAAGGCUGUGGAUGCCCCCUCCCCGGAGCAUUCAAGGCCCCAUUCAGGCUGAAUGGGGCUGUGAGCAACCUGGUCUAGAGCAGGGACGGGGAGAACAAGAUGGUCCCUUAAGGUCCCUUCCAACUCAAAACAGUCUCUGAUUCUACGAGAAGCUGUGCAUCAGAAGGGCUCCUUCUAGCUCAGGAAGGGCUCGAACGAGGUGGUGGCUCUGAGGCGGGUGGGCGGAGCGAGUAGUGCCGGUGGCAGCCGCCAUUUUCGGGCAGAGCUCGAGGAGAUGAGCUUCGUGGUGGAGCGUUAUUCUAACGGAGUGUUCUUCAAGGGUCCGAAUCGCGGCAAAAAAACCCAAAAAAACAAGACGAGGGAGCACUAAGAAGCCGAGGGAGACCAUGGCAGAGCUCCCAGCCCUCCCCCGUCCCGCAGCGUGGCGGCUCUGACGCGUGUGGGCGGAGAGAGGAGUGCCGGCGCUUGAGUAGCGCCUAGGGGCUGCCUUGGUCUCGCACGCCUGUGAGCUGCUGCGAAAAGGAACGCGGCGACACAAACAGAAAGCGCGGAUGUCCGUGCAGUGGUUCCGGUCGUGCCUGAGCCUGUCGCUGCUCCAGGAGGGCAGCAGGGAUAGCACCUGUGCGCGCUGUGAGCAAGUGGAUGGUCUGCUCAGCCUGGUGGCCGAGCUAAAGCUAAAGCUAAAGCUAAAGCUAAAGGCGGGUGGGGGGGGGGCGGAGGGGAGGUGGAGGUGGAGAGGUUGAGGAGCACCCGGAAUUGAGAGAGCCGGAUUGAUCGGUGGAGUCACACUCUGCCAUCCCUGUGGGAAAGGCACGGGGGAGACGCUGUACAAAUAGCAGUGGCUCAUGUAGCCUCUAGCAGUUAGAUGGGAGAGGGUGAGCUCAGAGACAGUGAGGGAUGGAAACAAGGCCCUGAUCAGGGCAGCAAGCAGGCCGCCUCUCAGCCUGUCCCACCCUCCCAGGUGCCCUUACAUAACAGGUAUGAGGCCCUGGAGCUGGAGGGAUAGGGGGAUGUGGGUGUCGGUGAAGGUCCAUCAAUGCAGAAGAGAUUGCCAGGGGCAAGUCAGACUGCUCCCCAUAUUGCUACAGCAUCCGUCACGAGAAAAAGAAGAGCUGUCAUCAUAGGGGAACAUAGGAGAAGUAGAGUUCCCCAAACACUCCAGUCCUUCCCACAUGGCUUCUGGGAGGGAGAGACAAAGUGAUGGGGGGAUGUAAGGACGUUCCCUAGUGCUCUGCAUUGCCGAGCUUGCAGCACAGUUAGGACUCUCACUCUCUUUCAAGUUUAUGUGAUAUAUUUUUCUCAUGGGCGCCGCUUGUUCUCUUCAGCGGUCCACAGCUCCCCAGCGGUGCUGAUCUUGACAUUCUUGGUCCAGUAGGGCUUCUCUGGUUCAUCCAGUUCCACCGCUCUUCCACAGCAGCACAUGCUUCUCUCUUCUCCUGACUUUGGUGUCCUUUCGCUUGUAGCUGAGCAGGAGUCAUCAGUGAUUUCUGACAGCCUGCAAAAGUCAGGCCGAGAGGAUGGCUGUGGGGACUGGCAGAGUAAGGCAGCGAGCCGGGAGAAAGCGGAAGAGAGAACACCCUUCAGACCUGGGUUUCGAUUCCCAGAAGGAUCUUCAAUUUCUAUGGUAAUUCUUGCAACGUUCUGUGCCGUUGACAGUAGCGGAAGCAGGUCUUCGUUUCUCAUGUCAAUGCCAGUUUCACCUAGCAUGGCUCCUCUGGAAUAAAAAGAAAGGGGUCUUAGAAAUGAGUCCCAGUGUCAAGUCUCUUCAGAGACUCUUUGACUCAGACUGAAGAGACAGUCUGAGUCAAAGAAAUUCCUCAACAGAAAUCCCAGCAGAGGGCUGCCCACAGCUCACUGUGCUCUGGGAUGCUCUCCUUGUAAGCGCUUCCCUGCACGGAGCAGCCAUCUAGCAAAGACUAGCGGAGAAGCAACUCACGCUUGUCUCUUCAUCAGCAGCUGUUUUGCCAGGUAACCCAAAGCAGCCAGAAUGACCAGAGAGAACACUGUGCUUGAGGUGUGGCCUCAAAAGACACUGCUUACUUGUGCAAAAGACACUGCUUUUGGUAGUACCCUUUAAACCAGUGUCUAAUACCCAGCGUAUUGGGGAAGCACAAAUUGCUCCCAGAUCUAAUAGAGAUGAGGCUAAAUAACCACUGGUUGACAUAAUUAGAGUAGGCCAUAAAUCAUCUUCCAAGGCUGGACUAAACUAUGCCUUCUGGUGACAUUAGCAAACUGUCACCAAGGGCAUUCUAAUGACCACCUGCACUACAGAUAGGAUGUGAUGCUAGAAUGACAACUCUCCCUAGACCUUGAUGAGUGAGCAGAGACAGCGUCUGCAACUUAGGAAUUCUGGUAUCAUCUGGAUCUGGGAUCUAUUUUAACCAGUUUCUUCAGAUGCAGCAACAAAAAAAGCCAUUGAUAAAUCAUAUUAUGUAGGUGGCUGACAUGCAUCAGUAAAUCUUGGGGAAAAAAACAGUUGAAAAUUGUGAAAAAAUGACUCUGUGACUUGUUGCGUAUUGUUUCAACUUUGAUCUUCUGAAGCCUUGAUGAAAAAAAAAACACCACGUCUUGCUAGUAGUAGGUUUUAGUAGGCAAGAAUUGCUGUAAUUCCCUGUUUGCUAAGACAGAAAAACAAGUUUCUUCAAUUUUACCAUGAACUUCUAUCCCCUUUAGUUUUAGGAGGUUUCCAUGAAGCAAGUAUUCUGUAACGAGGGGGUUCUCUUUACCACGUAGAAACAGCAUCCCUGCUGCUACGGAAAGAAUGACUGGGAGCAAAGAGAGGGGUUCUUUGGUGGGUUUUUUGUUUGUUUGUUGGUUGGUUGGUUUGUUUUCAUUUUACUUCUACAAGUUCUGAAGUAUUACAAGAACAGUCUAUCUUGUCAGUGUUGUCCUAUACCACUGUUACUGUUCUUUUAGAUAUUUUAUUAACGGCCGUUUCACAUUGUACUGGUUUUGGCACAAAUUUCAUGCCUUCGAGAAAGCAAAAUACCGUUACAGUAGUGUUUCUUCUGUGUAUCUGAUGAUUCUUUUUAAUUCUAAACUCUUUUCUUUCUGCGUCGCGAUAAUCACCCAAGUACAGGAAAUAUUUAGCUUGAAAGGUCACAACAGGAGGAUCAGAGAGAUGACCGGAGGGCUGGAGCACCUCCACUACGAGGACAGGCUGGGAGGGCUGGGGCUCUUUGGCCUGGAGAAGGCCCUGGGGCGACCUUAGAGCAGCCUUCAGUAGGUCCCUGAAGGGGACCUACAGGAAAGCUGGGGAGGGACUUUUUAUCAGGGCACGUAGCAACAGGAUGAGGGGAAAUGGUUUUAAACUGGAAGAGGGUGGAUUUAGACUAGAGGUUAGGAAGAAAUGCUUUCCUGUGAGGGGAGUGAGGCACUGGAACAGGUUGCCCAGCAAGGCUGUGGAUGCCCCCUCCCCGGAGCAUUCAAGGCCCCAUUCAGGCUGAAUGGGGCUGUGAGCAACCUGGUCUAGAGCAGGGACGGGGAGAACAAGAUGGUCCCUUAAGGUCCCUUCCAACUCAAAACAGUCUCUGAUUCUACGAGAAGCUGUGCAUCAGAAGGGCUCCUUCUAGCUCAGGAAGGGCUCGAACGAGGUGGUGGCUCUGAGGCGGGUGGGCGGAGCGAGUAGUGCCGGUGGCAGCCGCCAUUUUCGGGCAGAGCUCGAGGAGAUGAGCUUCGUGGUGGAGCGUUAUUCUAACGGAGUGUUCUUCAAGGGUCCGAAUCGCGGCAAAAAAACCCAAAAAAACAAGACGAGGGAGCACUAAGAAGCCGAGGGAGACCAUGGCAGAGCUCCCAGCCCUCCCCCGUCCCGCAGCGUGGCGGCUCUGACGCGUGUGGGCGGAGAGAGGAGUGCCGGCGCUUGAGUAGCGCCUAGGGGCUGCCUUGGUCUCGCACGCCUGUGAGCUGCUGCGAAAAGGAACGCGGCGACACAAACAGAAAGCGCGGAUGUCCGUGCAGUGGUUCCGGUCGUGCCUGAGCCUGUCGCUGCUCCAGGAGGGCAGCAGGGAUAGCACCUGUGCGCGCUCUGAGCAGGAGUCAUCAGUGAUUUCUGACAGCCUGCAAAAGUCAGGCCGAGAGGAUGGCUGUGGGGACUGGCAGAGUAAGGCAGCGAGCCGGGAGAAAGCGGAAGAGAGAACACCCUUCAGACCUGGGUUUCGAUUCCCAGAAGGAUCUUCAAUUUCUAUGGUAAUUCUUGCAACGUUCUGUGCCGUUGACAGUAGCGGAAGCAGGUCUUCGUUUCUCAUGUCAAUGCCAGUUUCACCUAGCAUGGCUCCUCUGGAAUAAAAAGAAAGGGGUCUUAGAAAUGAGUCCCAGUGUCAAGUCUCUUCAGAGACUCUUUGACUCAGACUGAAGAGACAGUCUGAGUCAAAGAAAUUCCUCAACAGAAAUCCCAGCAGAGGGCUGCCCACAGCUCACUGUGCUCUGGGAUGCUCUCCUUGUAAGCGCUUCCCUGCACGGAGCAGCCAUCUAGCAAAGACUAGCGGAGAAGCAACUCACGCUUGUCUCUUCAUCAGCAGCUGUUUUGCCAGGUAACCCAAAGCAGCCAGAAUGACCAGAGAGAACACUGUGCUUGAGGUGUGGCCUCAAAAGACACUGCUUACUUGUGCAAAAGACACUGCUUUUGGUAGUACCCUUUAAACCAGUGUCUAAUACCCAGCGUAUUGGGGAAGCACAAAUUGCUCCCAGAUCUAAUAGAGAUGAGGCUAAAUAACCACUGGUUGACAUAAUUAGAGUAGGCCAUAAAUCAUCUUCCAAGGCUGGACUAAACUAUGCCUUCUGGUGACAUUAGCAAACUGUCACCAAGGGCAUUCUAAUGACCACCUGCACUACAGAUAGGAUGUGAUGCUAGAAUGACAACUCUCCCUAGACCUUGAUGAGUGAGCAGAGACAGCGUCUGCAACUUAGGAAUUCUGGUAUCAUCUGGAUCUGGGAUCUAUUUUAACCAGUUUCUUCAGAUGCAGCAACAAAAAAAGCCAUUGAUAAAUCAUAUUAUGUAGGUGGCUGACAUGCAUCAGUAAAUCUUGGGGAAAAAAACAGUUGAAAAUUGUGAAAAAAUGACUCUGUGACUUGUUGCGUAUUGUUUCAACUUUGAUCUUCUGAAGCCUUGAUGAAAAAAAAAACACCACGUCUUGCUAGUAGUAGGUUUUAGUAGGCAAGAAUUGCUGUAAUUCCCUGUUUGCUAAGACAGAAAAACAAGUUUCUUCAAUUUUACCAUGAACUUCUAUCCCCUUUAGUUUUAGGAGGUUUCCAUGAAGCAAGUAUUCUGUAACGAGGGGGUUCUCUUUACCACGUAGAAACAGCAUCCCUGCUGCUACGGAAAGAAUGACUGGGAGCAAAGAGAGGGGUUCUUUGGUGGGUUUUUUGUUUGUUUGUUGGUUGGUUGGUUUGUUUUCAUUUUACUUCUACAAGUUCUGAAGUAUUACAAGAACAGUCUAUCUUGUCAGUGUUGUCCUAUACCACUGUUACUGUUCUUUUAGAUAUUUUAUUAACGGCCGUUUCACAUUGUACUGGUUUUGGCACAAAUUUCAUGCCUUCGAGAAAGCAAAAUACCGUUACAGUAGUGUUUCUUCUGUGUAUCUGAUGAUUCUUUUUAAUUCUAAACUCUUUUCUUUCUGCGUCGCGAUAAUCACCCAAGUACAGGAAAUAUUUAGCUUGAAAGGUCACAACAGGAGGAUCAGAGAGAUGACCGGAGGGCUGGAGCACCUCCACUACGAGGACAGGCUGGGAGGGCUGGGGCUCUUUGGCCUGGAGAAGGCCCUGGGGCGACCUUAGAGCAGCCUUCAGUAGGUCCCUGAAGGGGACCUACAGGAAAGCUGGGGAGGGACUUUUUAUCAGGGCACGUAGCAACAGGAUGAGGGGAAAUGGUUUUAAACUGGAAGAGGGUGGAUUUAGACUAGAGGUUAGGAAGAAAUGCUUUCCUGUGAGGGGAGUGAGGCACUGGAACAGGUUGCCCAGCAAGGCUGUGGAUGCCCCCUCCCCGGAGCAUUCAAGGCCCCAUUCAGGCUGAAUGGGGCUGUGAGCAACCUGGUCUAGAGCAGGGACGGGGAGAACAAGAUGGUCCCUUAAGGUCCCUUCCAACUCAAAACAGUCUCUGAUUCUACGAGAAGCUGUGCAUCAGAAGGGCUCCUUCUAGCUCAGGAAGGGCUCGAACGAGGUGGUGGCUCUGAGGCGGGUGGGCGGAGCGAGUAGUGCCGGUGGCAGCCGCCAUUUUCGGGCAGAGCUCGAGGAGAUGAGCUUCGUGGUGGAGCGUUAUUCUAACGGAGUGUUCUUCAAGGGUCCGAAUCGCGGCAAAAAAACCCAAAAAAACAAGACGAGGGAGCACUAAGAAGCCGAGGGAGACCAUGGCAGAGCUCCCAGCCCUCCCCCGUCCCGCAGCGUGGCGGCUCUGACGCGUGUGGGCGGAGAGAGGAGUGCCGGCGCUUGAGUAGCGCCUAGGGGCUGCCUUGGUCUCGCACGCCUGUGAGCUGCUGCGAAAAGGAACGCGGCGACACAAACAGAAAGCGCGGAUGUCCGUGCAGUGGUUCCGGUCGUGCCUGAGCCUGUCGCUGCUCCAGGAGGGCAGCAGGGAUAGCACCUGUGCGCGCUGUGAGCAAGUGGAUGGUCUGCUCAGCCUGGUGGCCGAGCUAAAGCUAAAG